AUCCAGAUGACGAGUUCCAAUUAGGACGAAAUGAGCAUUCUGGAU
rnacentral:hammerhead_ribozyme from 1 species